UACAGAGGUCUCGAGCGUUGUUCGGAUUCAUUGGGCGUAAAGGGCGCGUAGGCGGCCAGCACAAGUCGGUUGUGAAAUCUCCGGGCUUAACUCGGAAAGGUCAACCGAUACUGUCGUGCUAGAGUGCGGAAGGGGCUACUGGAAUUCUCGGUGUAGCGGUGAAAUGCGUAGAUAUCGAGAGGAACACCUGCGGCGAAGGCGGGUAGCUGGGCCGACACUGACGCUGAUGCGCGAAAGCCAGGGGAGCGAACGGG
rnacentral:rRNA from 1 species